rnacentral:rRNA from 1 species
CCUGGCGGCAAUAGCGAGUGGGAACCACCCGAUCCCAUCUCGAACUCGGAAGUGAAAACGCUCAGCGCCGAUGGUAGUGUGGGGUCUCCCCAUGUGAGAGUAGGACACCGCCAGGC